rfam:Danio rerio chromosome 6, GRCz11 reference primary assembly.
GGCUCCAUCUUACAAGGCAGUUUUGGAUGUUAUAUCUUCUCUAAUACUGCCUGGUAAUGAUGCAGAU